GCCGAGCCAUUUAACAAUGGCUUGUAACCCAUGUGGGGGCUUUAAGGUGGUUGGAGGUUGGUUCAUUGUAUCUUGUCGGAACUCUUAAGAGGACUACUUGCUCGCCCAUUCCAAGAAGGGAGUUGGGCCUCGCAUUCUAGACGAAAGUCCAAAGUGCGAUGCCUUUAGAUUGGAGGAAACCGCGUGAGGUUGGCCUUACAGAGCAGUGUCACCUCCUGCUCUCGUCGGUGGACGGAUAACGUGCAAGUUCUUGAACAAAGUCUGUCCCAAGCCCGUGUCCUAUUUUACUUACACAUUC
rnacentral:SRP_RNA from 2 species